rnacentral:misc_RNA from 1 species
AUGAAGAAUCUUUAAUAAAUAACAAAAUAUGUAAAAGCUAAUUAUUCCUUUCUUCAAUAAAAAGAAUUUGUUAACAAUUUCAAGACUUGAAAAUAAAAAGAAAUACAUCAAUAAACCAAUAAAACCCGUAGCCGAAAAAAAAAACUGAGAGAAAAUUCAGGUACAAUGAAUCAAGCAGCGGAAAGAAUAAAAUCGUAGAAGUUUCUGGAAAAAGCCAAAGAACAAACCCUAAUCGAGAUUCUCUAAGGAGAGAGGGGGGCGGGGGAAAGAAUACACUUAUG